GAUGAACGCUGGCGGCGUGCCUAAUACAUGCAAGUAGGACGCAGUUGCGAACGGGUGAGUAACGAGUAGGUAAAUGCAGAUUAGAGGGGGAUAACUAUUGGAAAAGAUAGCUAAUACCGUAUACUAGUAGAUGGAGCUGCGUUGUAUUAGCUAGUAGGUAGGGUAAUGGCCUACCUAGGCGACGAUACAUAGCCUACCUUGGAGGGUGAUCGGCCACACCGGGAAUGAGGACACGCCCCGACUCCUACGGGAGGGCGCGAUAGGGAAACUUCGGCAAUGGGGGGAACCCUGACCGAGCAACACCGCGUGAGUUAAGAAGGUUUUCGGAUCGUAAAUCUCUGUUGUUAGGGGAGCGGUACUUAACCAGAAAGGGACGGCUAACUACGUGCCAGCAGCCGCGGUAAUAC
rnacentral:rRNA from 1 species